rnacentral:rRNA from 1 species
UACGUAGGUGGCAAGCGUUGUCCGGAUUUACUGGGCGUAAAGGGCGUGCAGGCGGUCUGUUAAGUUCAGGGUGAAAGCUCCCGGCUCAACUGGGAGAGGUCCUUGGAUACUGGCAGACUUGAGGGAGGUAGAGGAGAGUGGAAUUCCCGGUGUAGUGGUGAUAUGCGUAGAUAUCUGGAGGAACACCGGUGGCGAAGGCGGCGUUCUGGACUGUUACUGACACUGAGGAACGAAAGCCAGGGGAGCAAACGGG